CCGUGCAGCCGGGGAGAUAGCGGUGCCCUAUACCUGCAAUCCGCUACAGCAGGGGUGAUAUUUUGCCUCGGGUUUAUUCUUGUAGGGCUGCCCUUUAUAAGUGAUGUUGACGUUUGGGUCUUACGCAACAGGAAUUUGUGAACCGUGUCAGGUCAGGAAUGAAGCAGCACUAAGCAAACACUCUUGUGUGCCGUAAGGCAGCCUGAGCCGAGUUAACUGUAAAGGUAACGCUUAUGAGGUAGAUUCAAAGCAAAAUGCACGG
rnacentral:SRP_RNA from 1 species